GCCUUAGUACGGCGAGUGAGCGGCAAAGCUCAAAUUUGAAUCUGGUACCUUUGGUGCCCGAGUUGUAAUUUGGAGAGUACCACUUUGGGACUGUACUUUGCCUAUGUUCCUUGGAACAGGACGUCAUGGAGGGUGAGAAUCCCGUGUGGCGAGGGUGUCAGUUCUUUGUAAAGGGUGCUCGAAGAGUCGAGUUGUUUGGGAAUGCAGCUCUAAGUGGGUGGUAAAUUCCAUCUAAAGCUAAAUACAGGCGAGAGACCGAUAGCGAACAAGUACAGUGAUGGAAAGAUGAAAAGAACUUUGAAAAGAGAGUGAAAAAGUACGUGAAAUUGUUGAAAGGGAAGGGCAUUUGAUCAGACAUGGUGUUUUGCGCCCCUUGCCUCUCGUGGGCUUGGGACUCUCGCAGCUCACUGGG
rnacentral:rRNA from 1 species